GGAGCCUCUGGAGGUUCUAAAGGCUCUGGCUGAGUCUCUGCCUCUGGCAUCCUUUUCAGCCUCCUUGCUGUCCGACGUGAGCGCUGGCUACGCAGGUUGCUGGCGUGACACCACACCAGCCUCCUCUUCAUCGGGAUCAGCCAUGAUCCGUGCAGGCCGCUGGCGGGCCACAACAACAUGCGAGCGCUCACAGUUCCUAACCGGUAGCGAAGCUCCAGUGUGGCAACACAGAAGCACCAAGAUGGCUUCAGUCAGGAAUUGUUCAUUGAAAUUGACACCUGAUCUGAAGCCAAGUGCCUUCUCUAGAGAAAAGGCCCCUACCUUGCUCUUCUGAUAAGACACGUGAAAAAAAUACUGGCACAAGAUUACCUCAGUAACCAUCCUGUGGGGUAGUUCAAGAUUCCAUGGCUGAAGGCAAGCUAGAACCUGCGUCUUCCCAGUCCUACUCCAAAACUUCUGUUCUCUUCUUGGAAAAAAUGAGGCACAUUUACUGAAGAUAUCAAUUACUAUGACAGCCUACAUUGGAAAAAAAGUGUAUUCAUACAUGGGUGUUAUCCAUUUUCUAAAGGUUAACCUCACAACAUGCUGAAUAGGAAAAUUCAUGUAUAAAUUUAUAUUAAGCUCUGUCAAUUAGGGAGGGAAAAAUGUAGAGUAGCUAUUUUGAGAGAAGGUGGGAAUGUCUUAAUCACAGGGGAAGGUAUGGAUUCAGCAGCUCACUGCAAAAUAAAAAGCUGUUACAAAACUGUUUUCCUUCAUUUGUUCUUUUGUGUCAGAUCACCUAUUUUAUAUUAUCGUGGUUUCUGUAAAUUAUCACUAAGGCCCUGAUUUGUAAUACACUGACUGUGUUUACACCUUGUGUUAAGACAUUUUUAGACACUAUUUAUUGAAUAAAUUGCAAUUUACUAGUUUUACACAAGCUAAAACAAGAAAAUAAGUUGGAUUUGGGCUUACAUGUUGAUCCAAUCAUGAUGGUUUAUUCAGAAAACUGUGACUAAAGAAGCAAUGGCUUAGUACAGCCUGGAAACAUCAUGGGAAACAUCCUUCAUUCUAAGGAAUUAGAAAACUAUACACUUUUAAUGAUGGGAAUGGAGACAAAGGCACACUAGGGAGUAGACGGAUUUC